UGUCUACCCGGGGCCGAGUGGAAAGC
rnacentral:piRNA from 1 species